AUCCCAGCCAAAGUUUUGUUUAGCCUGGCAGGGGAAGCACCAUGAUCAAUCAGGUGGUUUUCCCAGGGCAGGUGAUUGGCUCUGAUAUGUCCUCCAUCAGAGGUCUAUAUUGAGCAGAUUCUUUUUGGUGUUGGGUGGUGGAACCGGAGCUUGCUCCAUCCACUCCAUUCAUUGACCUGGUAUUCCAGUGCUUCCAGGACCGGUGCAAAAAAA
ensembl:snRNA U2 U2 spliceosomal RNA